rnacentral:lncRNA from 1 species
GGGCAUGGGGAGCACUGGGCUUGUCUCUGGCUGUCCCCAGAGCUCAUGACAUUUGAUCUUCAACCCAAGGACAGCCCAUGCUUCCUGUGGUUGCUGUCUUUUGGUUUGUCGGUGCCUCUGUCCCCUGUUGGGCUCCUUGGAGGGAGCUUGCUUGCAAGCAGACGGAUGGAAGCCCACCUGACCUGUCUAGCUGUGGCCACUUCCUCCUUCCCAGCUCAGCCUUUGCUGUGAGAGCUCGGAGUGAAUGCCUUUGAGACCAAACAACAGGAAACCACGAAGCAGGUUCUGCGGUCCCUGUGAGCUCCACGCCCUCCCCAGCUCCGAAUCCCUCUCCAGCUCUGUGCCUCUCACUAGCUCAGUGUUCUGGAAACCUGGAGUUGGUCUGUGUGGGCCGAUGUGGGUCUGGGUAGAUGGUUUUCGCCGGCGAGGGAGAAGCUCCUAACCAAACCCCACUCCUACGCACCCUUUGGAGAAGGCACUCGAGUCGCAGCAGUGCCACCUGGUGGCGGUGAGGAGGACAGCACCUACUAUGAUCAGGUAGCCUGGGAAGGGGCCAGAGCUGUCUACCACAGGGGCUGUGUUCAUUCCAUCCCCGUCUUCCCACCAACCCUCAUUUCAUUUAGAUCCCCUAAAGCCCUGGGGUGGGGGGCACGCCAGGAACAUCACUCAGGAUGGAAGUGGACAUUUUCCACCACAAAAUGUCUGCAGAUGUGGGAAGUGGCCCAGUGACCAAGAAGGGAAGUGUGAUUACUGAGAAGUGCUUUAGAAUCAGCAAGAGCUUCCUGUGACAGGUCUCAGUAAGGACCAGAGCUCCACCCGGGGCCCUCCAAGGUUAAGGUUAGGGCCAUGGUGGGAUGUGAACAGGUCGGAAGAAUACACACCAAAGGGAAGCUGAGGUUUGGGCAGUGACUGGAGGGCUGGCGGCAGGUUGAGGACACGGUGGAAGGGCUCGAGGGACACACUGUGAAGGGUGGUCAGCAAGCUGAUGCAGACAGUAGUUAGGCAGCAUGAGGGUGCCCUGCAGAGCAGAUGCAGAGAAGAUGCCCCACUCCCAGCUGCUCCCAAGGGCCCGCUGCAGCAGGGCCUGCUCUUUGGCUGAGUGUUUCUGUAAGCUGAAGCUAAACCAAGAUAGCCACACAGUGCUAAAGACUUAACAAUGCGGAGCAACAGCACCUCCUGACUGUGGAAAGCUGGAACAUCGCAGAUCAGAGGCAAACCGUCCUUGCCUUUAAUCUGACUGCAGCAUGUUCAAUGCAGUUCCUAGGUUUGACCUAGUAACCUUGUGACUAUCCAAACCUUUAACAUGUAUUAAGAAAUAUCA